UUUUUUUUGCUUUGAAAUUUAGAAACAAAUUUCAUUUAAGAUCUGAAAUACAAUUCCUAAAAUAUCAGCUUUUCCAGAAAACCGUGGCUACACAAUAAUGCAUUGCCUCUAUCAUUUUAGAACCUGCAUUAGACUCAAAUACAAAAACCAUGAAACAAAUCACCAUCCUUCAACAAUUUGAGCAAAGAUAGAAUGCCUAAGAACAACAGAGAUGGACUUGCAGAGGAUGGGCUGUUUUACUUCAAGCACCAUAAAAAAAAAAAAGAGCACAAAUGCAUGGGUUUUCAGGUAUAUACAUUAAGUUGAACCUUUGGCACUAG